rnacentral:rRNA from 1 species
UACGUAGGUGGCAAGCGACACUCGGAAUCACUAGGCGUAAAGCGCAGGUAGGUGGUUGGGUAAGUCUUUUGUGAAAGCUCCUGGCUUAACUGGGAGAGGUCAAGGGAAACUGCUCGGCUAGAGUGUGGUAGGGGAUACUGGAAUUCCUGGUGUAGCGGUGAAAUGCGUAGAUAUCAGGAGGAAUACCUAUGGCGAAAGCAGGUAUCUGGGCCAUCACUGACACUGAGCUGCGAAAGCUAGGGGAGCAAACAGG